rnacentral:snoRNA from 1 species
AGUGAUGAUGACAAAACAUAAAAUUAUGAUAGGAAGAGGAUGAAUUCUCCCACAGAGGAGAGCAUGAUCUCACCAUACGUUAAUCUGAAGC